ACAAGCAAAAGAGGGCAAUUGGCGGAUGCCUUGGCGUUAUCAGGCGACGAAGGACGCGGCAAGCUGCGAAAAGCUCCGGUGAGCGGCUAACACGCUUUGACCCGGAGAUGUCCGAAUGGGGAAACCCGGCGCCGGGAAACCGGCGUCGCCGCGGGCUGAACACAUAGGCCCGCAGGCGUCACACGCGGUGAAGUGAAACAUCUCAGUAACCGCAGGAAAAGAAAGCGAAUGCGAUUCCGCAAGUAGCGGCGAGCGAAAGCGGAUCAGCCCAAACCGGGGGGAUUCAUCCCCCCGGGGUUGUGGGACCACGACACGGUAUCGCGACGGUUAGAAGAACGGCUUGGAACGGCCGGCCAAAGAGGGUGAGAGCCCCGUAAUCGAAAACCCGAGCGGACCCAGUGGUAUCCCGAGUAGCACGGGACACGUGAAACCCCGUGUGAAUCCGCGCCGACCACGGCGCAAGGCUAAAUACUAGAUAACGACCGACAGUGAACCAGUACCGUGAGGGAAAGGUGAAAAGAACCCCUGUUAGGGGAGUGAAAUAGAAUCUGAAACCAAUUGCCCGCAAAUCAGUGGGAGCUCCGGCUUGCCGGGGUGACCGCCUGCCUUUUGCAUAAUGAGUCUGCGAGUUGACGCGCGUGGCGAGCUUAAGCCCUUCCGGGGCGGAGGCGAAGCGAAAGCGAGUCUGAAGAGGGCGUCUUCAGUCGCGCGCGUCAGACCCGAAACCGAGGUGAUCUAACCAUGGCCAGAAUGAAGCUUCGGUAAAACGAAGUGGAGGUUCGAACCGGUCAAUCUUGAGAAAUUGUCGGAUGAGCUGUGGUUCGGAGCGAAAGACUAAUCAAACCCGGUGAUAGCUGGUUCUUUCCGAAAUAUAUUGAGGUAUAGCGUCGGGUGCUGACUGGCGGAGGUAGAGCUACUGAAUGAGCUAGGGCCCAUACCCGGGUACUGAACUCAAUCAAACUCCGAAUGCCGCCAGGUGAAGCCCGGCAGUCAGACAGUGGGGGAUAAGCUUCAUUGUCGAGAGGGAAACAGCCCGGACCAUCGGUUAAGGCCCCCAAAUGCCGCUCAGUGAAAAAGGAGGUGAAUCCGCCCAGACAAUGGGGAUGUUGGCUUAGAGGCAGCCACCAUUUAAACAGUGCGUAACAGCUGACCCAUCGAGCGGAUUCGCGCCGAAAAUGAUCGGGGCUCAAGCGGCAUGCCGAAACCAUGGAUUGCCAUUCUUCGGAACGGCAGUGGUAGGAAAGCGUUCCAGUUGGAGUGAAGCCUUCGCGGCAAGCGGCGGUGGACCGGCUGGAAGUGAGAAUGCAGACAUAAGUAACGAUAAGCGCGGUUAAAAUCCGCGCCGCCGUAAACCCAAGGUUUCCCGGGCAAGGUUCGUCCGCCCGGGGUUAGUCGGGAGCUAAGGCGAGGCCGUAAGGAGUAGUCGAUGCACAACUGGUUUAAUAUUCCAGUACCGGCUUGCGGAUGUUUGACCACCGGAGUGACGGAGAAAGCUAACGCGGCGGGGUGAUGAACGUCCCCGUCCAAGCGCGUAGGCCGUCGGGCAGGCAAAUCCGCCCGGCAUCCAAGGCUGAAACGCGACGGGACCCCGAGGUUACGGCCGAAGGGGAUCGCGUGAUGCUCGGCUUCCGGGAAAAGCUUCGGUGUUAGUCCGCGGGCCGCCCGUACCGUAAACCGACACAGGUGGGUGGGAUGAGUAAUCUCAGGCGCGCGAGUGAAAUCUCUCCAAGGAACUCGGCAAACUGGCCCUGUAUCUUUGGUAGAAAGGGCGCCCCCUCCGGGGGGCCGCAGUAAAGAGGCCCAACCGACUGUUUAGCAAAAACACAGCUCUCCGCCAACACGCAAGUGGACGUAUGGGGAGUGACACGUGACCAAUGCGGAAAGGUGAAACCCCGGGGUGCGAGCUCCGGGCCUAAGCCCCCGUGAAUGUCGGCCGUAACUAUAACGGUCCUAAGGUAGCGAAAUUCCUUGUCGGGUAAGUUCCGACCUGCACGAAUCGUGUAACGAGUUGGGCGCUGUCUCGGAGAGACGCUCGGUGAAAUUGUAGUGGCGGUGAAGAUGCCGCCUACCCGCAGCAGGACGGAAAGACCCUAUGCACCUUUACUGUAAGCUGUUAUUGUCAUUCGGCCACGGAUGCGCAGGAUAGGUGGGAGACGUUGAAACCUUGCUCCAGGGCAAGGCGGAGUCGCCGGUGAAAUACCACUCUUCCAUGGCUGGCUGUCUAACCUUAAUCCGUUAUCCGGAAAAGGGACAGUGAUAGCGGGUCAGUUUGUCUGGGGCGGACUCCUCCCAAAGAGUAACGGAGGAUUGCGAAGGUUCCCUCAGCCCGGUUGGCAACCGGGCCUCGAGCGCAUGAGUAGAAGGGAGCUUUACUGUGAGACCAACAAGUCGAGCAGUUGCGAAAGCAGGCUCAAGUGAUCCGGCGGUGGAUCGUGGGAUCGCCGUCGCUCAUAGGACAAAAGGUACGCUAGGGAUAACAGGCUGAUCGCGGCCAAGCGUUCACAGCGACGCCGCGGUUUGGCACCUCGAUGUCGGCUCAUCACAUCCUGGGGCUGGAGAAGGUCCCAAGGGUUCGGCUGUUCGCCGAUUAAAGUGGUACGCGAGCUGGGUUCAGAACGUCGUGAG
rnacentral:rRNA from 1 species